ensembl:snRNA U6 U6 spliceosomal RNA
GUGCUUGCUUUGGCAACACAUAUAUUAAAAAGUAGAAUAAUAUGGAGAAGAUUACCAGGACACCUGUGCAAGGAUGACAUGUAAAUUCAUGAAGUAUUCCACAUGAAA